CCUACGGGUGGCAGCAGUCGAGAAUCAUUCACAAUGGGGGAAACCCUGAUGGUGCGACGCCGCGUGGGGGAAUGAAGGUCUUCGGAUUGUAAACCCCUGUCAUGUGGGAGCAAAUUAAAAAGAUAGUACCACAAGAGGAAGAGACGGCUAACUCUGUGCCAGCAGCCGCGGUAAUACAGAGGUCUCAAGCGUUGCUCGGAAUCACUGGGCGUAAAGCGUGCGGAGGCUGUUUCGUAAGUCGUGUGUGAAAGGCGCGGGCUCAACCCGAGGACGGCACAUGAUACUGCGAGACUAGAGUAAUGGAGGGGGAACCGGAAUUCUCGGUGUAGCAGUGAAAUGCGUAGAUAUCGAGAGGAACACUCGUGGCGAAGGCGGGUUACUGGACAUUAACUGACGCUGAGGCACGAAGGCCAGGGGAGCGAAAGGGAUUAGAUACCCGUGUAGUC
rnacentral:rRNA from 1 species